CCUACGGGGGGCAGCAGUGAGGAAUAUUGGUCAAUGGACGAGAGUCUGAACCAGCCAAGUAGCGUGAAGGAUGACUGCCCUAUGGGUUGUAAACUUCUUUUAUAUGGGAAUAAAAUGUUGCACGUGUGGGAUUUUGUAUGUACCAUAUGAAUAAGGAUCGGCUAACUCCGUGCCAGCAGCCGCGGUAAUACGGAGGAUACGAGCGUUAUCCGGAUUUAUUGGGUUUAAAGGGAGCGUAGGGGGUUUGUUAAGUCAGUUGUGAAAGUUUGCGGCUCAACCGUAAAAUUGCAGUUGAAACUGGCAGUCUUGAGUACAGUAGAGGUGGGCGGAAUUCGUGGUGUAGCGGUGAAAUGCUUAGAUAUCACGAAGAACUCCGAUUGCGAAGGCAGUUCACUGGACUGCAACUGACACUGAGGCUCGAAAGUGUGGGUAUCAAACAGGAUUAGAUACCCGUGUAGUC
rnacentral:rRNA from 1 species